ACGGGUGAGUAACGCGUGGGUAACCUGCCUCANAGGAGGGAUAANAUAGAAAUGGCUGCUAAUACCGCAUAAGCGCACAGAGCUGCAUGGCUCAGUGUGAAAAACUCCGGUGGUAUAAGAUGGACCCGCGUUGGAUUAGCUUGUUGGUGGGGUAACGGCCCACCAAGGCGACGAUCCAUAGCCGGCCUGAGAGGGUGAACGGCCACAUUGGGACUGAGACACGGCCCAGACUCCUACGGGAGGCAGCAUG
rnacentral:rRNA from 1 species